UGCAAAAUAAUCCUCUCUGCAAUUUUUAAGCCACUUUAUUUAAUUUGGCUUUCCCUGGCUCUCAAUUCCAGUUAUUGUUUCAUGUUGAACACGAGGUCAUGUGGGCUGACCUGUGUUAGUGAGCAUGUUAUAUUUUAGCCAAUCCUCCUUUAUACUGAGGUCAGUGACACAUCUUCCAGGAAGACCAAGCUGUAUUAUUCAUCUGCUUACUUUUCCAGUUUCUGUCAUUACCAGAUACACAAUAUUGCACAUCAUUUCCUUUGUGGCCCUCUAUUUUUGUCAUUUAGAAUGGCAUAGUUCUUAGUUCAAUGUGGUUCUCUUCUGCAGAUGGAACGGCAGGAUUUUUCAUCUCUGAGGCUGCCAGCUCUUCUUGCCUCUGCUGGCUUUCCAGUUUCCUUGGAAAAUUUAUUCCUGUAAAGUCACAAAGUGCACGAAGAACUUAAUUAAUUGUCCUCUGAGUCUGCAAAUCGUAUUGGCUGCGGUAGAACUGAGCACCUCAGUAGUGGUGGAAGCUCCAAGCUGUGUGCGUGCCCAAGUGUUUGAAGCAGUCCUGCUCUCGCAGAUAAGUCUUUCUUUUCUUAUCAUCUCACAGAUCUGCUCUGUUUGUGUAUCUGCCUCUUACAGAACAUGGCCUGUUUUGUGUUCUGCGAACAAAGAAUGUAUUUGUGGAAUUCUUUCCUGUUAUAGAAAAAGAUGGCCUUUGGUCAAUUCUACUUUUUCUCUUCUGCAAGUUCUAGCUCAAAUCAGACCAGUCAGUUUUUAGCUCUCUUGUGCACUGACUGCCAUGCACAAGAUCUCCCCAUACUCAAUAUUCUCUCCUUUCUACCUGCUUUUGAGCUUGGGAUCUCUCUAUUGGUAUUUCUUUAUGCAUUUCCUCAUCUGGAGUUUCCAUUUUCUGUUAAUUUAUGUCUAUUCAGAUCCACUCUCAGCAGUUUUGGGGUUUUUUUGCCUCCAUGUUUCUGCUGAGAAUUUUAAUGGAAUGUUUUCUCAAAGUAGUACUGUUUGUUUUGGCAGAGGGAGUUGUGUUGUUGUAUGCCAAGGCCACCUUAAACAAGCUGAAAUGUGUCCUUGGGGUGACGAGAGGCAUUUGAAACAUUUUUAAGAUGAUGCACAUCAUUCUCCCAGCAUGACAAUCCAUUGAAGACAUUUGUUAUUUGCAGUCUUUGAUUACACCUGUAUUGCCCUCUUUCAUGUGCUGCCUGAAUCUGAUAAGCUCUGCCAGUUGGGAGCGCUGACUCUGCUCAAGAAAUAAAACCAGCUAUUGCAAUCACAGGAUACAGCCUUUGUGUUGUGAGAAAUGCAGUUCUUGAGGCCUAUUGGAAUUCUGGCUGUCUCAGCUGUGUGAUGGAUCUGGGAAAGAUUUGAAACUGCAUUUAAUGGAGAAACUUCCUGCAGUUUUGUGCUUCAAUUGGCUUCUGUAAACUGUGGAUCAGUGCCUCCAGUAAAUGGGAUAUGCCAGCAAGGUGGAUGGACAUCCAUUUUCAGGAAGGAAGAUGAAAGACAUAUCUGGAAACUGUGAGUUUUGCGAUGCUGAAUGUCUUUAAAGAUAUCACAAGGAAAAAGCUUCAAAUAGGGAUUAAUAUACUGAGCGGAUGAGUAAAGAGUUGCAUUUUUGGAGCAUGUCAGGCAGUUGAAUCUGAUGAUGGGCUAAACUAGGUGGGCAUCAGCUUGUCGUUGUGUCAAGGUCCUUGGUGGUUUCUUCCCAGUUCCUCCAAAAGGCCUGGUCCUUCCUGCCUGCUGAAAGAAGUCUUGGUCCUCUCUCUGCAUCAUCAGGAGGAGAGAUAACCAUGUGCAUUCUCAGCCUGAGACAGCAGUGUGGUCUGGCAGCCAGGAGGGUGAAGUGCAUUUUUGGGUGCAUCAAAUACAGCAUGGCCAGCAGGCCAGAAGAGGAAUGAAACCUCAAUGAGAAGCUGUUUAGCUGCUGGGAUACUGCAGGCACUCCCUUGUGAAGAUGCUGAAUCUCUAUCGCUUUCCCUAAUCAAAUGGUGGCAGCAGGUCCAGGAAGAGCAGGAUGAUGCAAACUAGUGAAGAAAAGGUUUCCAGUGGAACAACUUUUGUGACUGAGCAAAGAGAAGCAUCAUACUGCUGACUGACAUCAGCUGCAUUUAUCUGGUGACAAGAUAAAGCAGAAUUUCUGAAAAAUGAUGUUCAGGAAAAAAAAAAAAGCAAACAACAGAAAAAAAGUGAACCUGCAAUAAGAAGAGCUUCAGACUGUGCACGUUUCUGAAAGCAUCACAGCCUGUCAAAAACAAAGGAAUGUUUUUAAGGUAGGAGGAGUUUCCAAGUGUGCUCUUAGAGCUAUUGGAACCAACAUGUGACAGCCAGAGGAAAAAGAGGAGUGGACAAUGGACUUGGAAAUGUCAAGGCAGCCAUAUACAGCGAGGAGGACUUGGGCACUUCCCCUGCAGACAUCUGAAGAACCUGUGUCCUGUGCACGAGAAAUGGGGUACAGCUAAAUGAGCUUUGCAGAGGUUACAUGGUAUCUUUAACAGACCUGCCUCCCUCCUGCUUGUCUGAGAAGAAAAAUUUAUGGGAACUCAAAUAUUAGUCACUUCUGAUGCCGACUCUAUGAAUCAAUUUGAAGUGUGAUUGAAAGAGUGCUCACAGAGAAGGGAGCAGAAAGAUGUAAUUAUUAGAUAAUAAAGCUGAAAAGACUGUCUGAUUCUGUGUAGCACAGGUCACAGGUCUUCCCUGGAUUAAUUUUUACUUGAACUUCAGCAUCUCUUUUUGAAAGCCAUCCAAUGUUGAUUUAUAAGUUUAUAGUCCUGGAAAAUCUUGCGGACAUCUUCAUGGUGUGCCAUUGAUUAAACAUCUUUGCUAUUAAAAAAAAAAGAAAAAGAAGAGCAUAAUUUUAUUUUUGAUCCUUGUCUCCAACGUUUAAUCUCUCUGCCUCAGUUGGCAAAAUGAGGAAAAUCUAUGGAGAAAUGGAGAAUACUGUAAGGGUAAACAUGUUAAAAGACUGGAAAUAGUCCAUGUGUAGAUGUAAAGGAGACCAUGGUUUUACGUGAGAUAGACAUUUUGGCUGGUAGCUGUGCAAAGAAAGGAUUUCCAUGUCACACUUCCACCUGGGAAUCUCUGAAGUCCAGAGCUUUUUUUUGAACCAUUGUGACCCUCUGAUCAACUUCAAAGAAAGAACAUAACCACUGCCUGCUUAUCUACAUGGCUUAUUUGGGGUUUGCUCUAUGCCUCUCUGAAGUCAGAAUUAAUGCAGCCUUCAAAAUGGGUUUGAAUAAUUCAUUUAUUGAUUCUCUUUGAUGAAGCUCUGUUUCUCCUACUAUGAAAAAAGGGCUGUAAUAUUUAAUAGAGAUUAUUUUUUUUAAUAACCCAACAUUGUAUUUUCCAAUUGAAAUUCUAGAACUGAAUCUGAAAAAGAGGUGCAUUAGACAACUAGAUGCUAAAAGUUCUCAGAAGGGAAAAGUUUGGUGGGAAAAAAAAGGAAUUAUUUUAAACAGGAAGACAUUAGUAUGGAGGUGGUAAAGAUCUAGCAUGAAUGGAGACUGGCAAUUAAGAUAAUUUCUUGUUUUUUCCUCUUCAAUUUUCAUUCUGAAGGAAAUGCUGCUUUUAUAGCUUUUAGCUCAGCUGUUCUAUUUAUCUGGAUUGUGCUGCAGUGACAAAAAUAAGGAAAAGGAUGUUUUGCUUUUUUCUUUUUUUGCCAACUCUUUUACUUGUUGUGAAAAAAAUAGACUGAUUAUGAAGUGGAAUGAAUUAUUGAUUUUUGGAUUCUCAGGACUAUCAAAAAGCAAGCCUUUGUGCUAUUUCUUGUUGUACAUAUACAACAAAUGAGUAUUGAGAGUUUUUUUAUGAAGAAGCUUUAUGGUCUCCUAUGCUCUCACACACAUCUGAUAUCCUGCCCACUCUUUUUAAUCCCUAUUGCUUACUCAUGAAAAGUCCUGUCUUUCUUUAAUAGGAGCAUCUCCUGGGAGUGGACUUGAGAAUGAUAGUCUGUCUUUUUGUUCAACUCUCUGUUGGAGUCCACUUGAUGUGUAUUGCAAUAUUAAUACUAUGCCAUCAAAAUUUGUCAAUCCAAAGAGAGCAGGUGUGACUCACUGGAAAAUAUCUCCAUCAGAAAGAGACUUUCCCAACUGCUUAUCUGAGUGCGUGGAAAGAUAAAUGCUACGGUUCAGACUUUCCCUCCAGAGAGAGACUGUUCUUCAGGAAAAGUCAAAACAGACACAUGCUCAAGUAGGCUCAACAGAUUUUACAAGAUAUGACAUAAACGACAAAGAAUUUCUAGCAGUGGUUCUCUGUAGAUGGAUUUAUGAAAGAUUGAGGGCUUGAGGAUUAAACUCUCUGUUGGCUGGGGUGAGACAACCUGAUUAUCCAGUCCAGCUGGAAAAGAGACGAGCAGCAAAGUCCAUCUCAAGAAAAUUAAUCUAGUUCAAUGCUGUCUUCAGCUGGCAGCGUCUGGGUGACACUGAACAUAAACACUCAUGGGUUGUGACUUGCAUUGACAUCCUUAAGAGAACCACAGGACGUGAAGAAAAUGGUACUGUGUGUUAUAUCCAUCACUGCAGAAAAUGAACAAAGUGAACAAAAAGUAAAUUAAAGGAAUGGUUUCGUAUAGCAGAGAACUAUGCAACUAUAGGCUGUUAGGAAGAUGCAGCCAGUAAGUAUAAUGAAGACUAAUGUUAUCUUUAACCUAAUUAAGUAUUUUUUAUAUGAAAGUACUUUGGCAGAAAUUUUCCUUCCUAAAAUUGUGUUCUGUAGUCCACACUCUGCUGUUUUUUAUUUUGCAUUUUUUCUGAAAAUCAUGCAGCCAAACAGAUCUUUGCUGGCAUAUUGAAGACUCAUGGAGAGAAGCAAGGAGCACGAAGGAUAAGAUGGGAAAAAUUAUGAAAUGAAGAACUGCAGAUUGAUGGAAGGGCUGACCUGCUUUUGGGUUGGAUAUUAGGAAAAACUUAUUCUCCAAAAGAGUGG